GGAGACAGGCGAGCCACGGAGAAGGACGUCGGGUUUUGUUCUCCGCCAUUUCUACAAACAUUUCUACAUUUUUACUCUGCUUUUUGGAUCUGCACGGGACAUUUUUGAGCACGUAACCCCACGCACAGCUCAGGGCCGUAGCGCCUGCUGUUUUUGAGUUUUUCUUUGGUUUUGUAGCGGGAAAUAAAUCUUGUUUGACAUCUACAAAAUCUCAAAAUCAAUCACUAUGAUCACAAGACGAAGAGGCCGAAUGCUGCAGGUGAGCGAGGAGCAGCCAGUGGAGGUGGAAGUGUGCGACAGCCAAAUGAGUCCCACCGAAACGUUUACAGGGGAGGAUUUAGACGCAACCACAAUCGAACUGGACGAGCUGUUUAGAGAGUUUAAAUGGACCGUGGACCGAGACCCCACUUCCCCUCUGUUUGAUAUGGACUUGGAAGAGUUCAGAAUGUAUGGCACAGAGCAAGAUUCCGGACGGGAAGUUUCAUCUGCUUCUUCUCCUGAAAGAAGAGAGACAGAUUUGAAGAUGAGGAAGAGUAACCAGAGCCACGGGUUAAACAAAAAUGCCAUUGCAGCCAGGUUGAAUCGGAUAAAGAAGAAAGAAUACGUGAGCAAUUUGGAACGGAAAGUCACGGGACUGUCUUCGGAAAAUUCCACUUUAAAACGAGAGAAUUCCGAGCUAAUGAAGCGGGUGGAGGAGCUGGAGGAUGAGACCAGGUACCUGCGUGCGGUGCUAGCCAACGAGAGCACGCUAGCACAGCUGUUAGCCAGGCUCAGCGGUGUGAACGGGAUGAAACUAUCUUCCUCGCUUUUCCAGGCAGCCACCAACGACCCCAGCGACCACGACUACGCGUUGCCGCAGAAAAGGGUGCGUGUGGAGGAGAGGGGUGCGGCGGCAGGCGGGGUGUGCCUACACGUGGACAGGGAUCAUGUGUCUGUGGAAUUCUGCCCCAAGUGUUCAGAGAGCGCCAGCGCGGCACUCAAAAUUUUCUUCUAGGUUUUGGUUGAUGGGCGCAGCGAGAUGAGCCAGUCUGAUCGCCUUUUCCUGCCUGAGUCCAUGUGGGAGCAGAUGGAGGAGCCUGUGGAGCAUCGCCCGGGGCCUGGGUAAUUGUUUAAGGUAGUAUCGGUAUCAACGGUAUCUGUAAUUUUUAUUUUCUUUGCAUUUCACAGCUCAACAUAAGCUCAAUUUUAAGAGCCAAAGCUUGUACAUAUGUUAAUGUAAUGGCCUGUGUAGAUGCUCUAUAGAUUGUACUGUAUAUAAUUUUGAUUACGUAAUGUUUAUGAUGAACAAAAGUAUGUAAAAAAAAAAGAAUAAAUAUUUUGCUUAAUGUUUGAGUUACAACUGUUGGUUUGAUCCUUGAUAUUAAUGCUUUUCUUUUUCUCUUUCUGAACAGCAAGGUCCCAUUACGAUCUAAAAACCUCAACUUUUGGGUCAAGCCUGGUAAAGGUUCAAAGCCAAACUCAUUUAAAGGCAAAGAAAGUGCUCAGUGGGGCAAAGGGAGAUGAACUAGUCCCCAUGAAUUUGGAUUAUUGAUACUUUGCAGGUGAUGUCAUCAACAUUCCCUGGGGGUGUGAUGCUAACUGAAGGCACUGUUAAAUCUGAAGCCCUGUUACUCAAGUUAGACUUUAAUGUUGGUUUGUUUUAACACAAUCUGACCAUAAAGAACUGCUGUAGCUGGAGCUACAUCAGGUGAGCUGAUUUGUGCUGUUAAACAAGUCUCAAACAUAAAAUUAGUCAGAAGCUAGUUAGCAUUAGCCAGCAGUUUUUCAGUUAGUCGCUCAUUUUUUGUGUAAAAUCAAACUCGUGAACAGGACCAUGAACACUCGGAUUGAUCACAGGCUCCUGAGAAUAUGCCAUUUAAAUCCCUUCUGUAUGUUUUUUUUUUUCUUGUAUUUUCAGAUUAUCUUAAAACUUUUUGGCAGUGAUUUUAGAUGAUGCUGAUAUUGUGUUAUUCUGGUAACCGUUGAACAUUCUGCCACAGACAGACAGGUAGAACACCCCCAGCGUGACAUGAUACUGCAAAGUAUCAAUAGUUAAGAUGAUGUGGUCCUUGAUAGAACAGAACCUACAAUUGCAAUCAGAAAUAUGAAAUCCCCCGAUGAGGAUUGUCUCAGUGGAACAAACAAAACGGAGGGAUGUGUUUCAGACUUGGGAAUUAAUGUUGACCAUGAUGUAAAAUUGGUUCUUAAAUUUUGAGUUUGACUUUAGUUUUAUAUUUUUUGAUCAUAAUUGUUUAAUGCUAGUAUAGAUCCAGUGACUGUAAGCCACUUGUUUUGCCUUGAAAAUUGAUCUGUUUCUCAGACUCAGGACCUUGUAGAAGGUCCUACAUUACACAAAAUUGACUUUUAUAAGCUUUAAGCCAUAUUGUUUCCUCAUCAAAAACAAACCUGAAGUUGUUUUUAUUCACACAUGUUUGUGUAAUCCUUUAUUAUUAGUCUGUCUACAAAAUACUUUGUUCCACCUUGUGAUGUCAUGACGUGGUAGUUGACAUUUUUUACCUUUAGUUCAGUAGAGAUGGGCAAUUCCAGGGCUCAAAUGAUUCUAGUGAAGGUGUAUGGAGUUUAAGAACACAGUGGAGCACUUUCUGUAUUACCACUUAAUGACAUCACAAGGUGGAACAGUAUUUUCUGUUUGAGAGAACUCAGUAAAUAAAUCUGCAGGGUUUGUGAGUUAAACAUGUGAAUGAAACAAAACACAACUCCCGGUCUGUUUGUGAUAAUAUGGGCCCUGUAAGCUUCAUAAAACCUUCCACCAUCUCAUCCCCAAGUUCUUGAUGUGGUGGACAUGUAAAUAAAUGCUUAAAGAACACGCUACUGAAACAUAAAUGUCAAAAGGAAAAGUUUAGAAUUAUAAUCAAAUUUUUGCAUGAGUCCUCAAGAGUGGGCCCUAUUUUACAUGUUUUUAACAAUAGAGCAAAUCUACACAAGAACAUGUAAACUCCACACAUACAGGCCCUUAGACAGUGUAGCAACUGAACAGAGGCCUCCACCGUGUGCUGCCUCAUCACACAAGUGUUAAUAUAAAGCUUUCUUCAUAAUAUUUUAUCAGGUUGGACUAUAUAAAAUAAACUACUAAAAUAUCACAUUAAAGGGGCAGUAGUCGACAAUAAUACAGUUUUCGAGGGUUCGUAUUUGAUGAAUAUUUCCGAUUGCAACUGAAAGGUUUAAAAAUCAGUGGGUCAAAUUAAUAUAUACAGAAAUCAUGCUUAUAACUGCAAUACAAGUUUGACUUUAGAGAGGUACAGUGAAAUGUGCUCUAGGGUCAUUACAGACUAAGCCCCCAGUGGAGAUGACAGUUUACACGUAACAUUAAUCAUCGUUAGGGCCUCAUGGUCAAAAGGCUUGUGUUUAGUCCAGUGAGGGUCAGAUGAUUUUACAAUAGUUAUUUGAAUAGAUUAUUUUUCCAGACCAAGGGUUAGUUUGUUUUCGUCCCUGACAGUCUGGUGUGCUCACUAGCGCUCUUCCUCACGGUGGUCACAUGAUGUUACUGCAUUGUCAGUCAUCUGAUUUAAACAGGUUUUGAAACUGUCCCGGGUGAAUGAAGUACUCAGUUUUGUUAAUUAAGUAAAAGUACAUAUACUGAGGUAAAAGGGAACUCAAGUAAAAGUAUCACAUGAAAAAAUCUACUUGACUAAAAGUAUUAAAGUAAAUAUGCUUAAAUAUGUUCUUAAAGAGUAAAAGUGUUGUUCAUUUGUUGGUGUUAAAUGUAGAGGUAUUGAAUAAUCUAUUUCAUUUUUCUUAUGAAUUUUGUGUAUUUAUUUUAAUUUUCUCAAAGCCGAUGCUUGAACUCGAAAACUUUAGUCAGGAUGUUACUACAAACAACCCCUCAAAUCAUAUGAGAAGUACUUUUUACUUUUCAGUCCAUUUAAAAAAAUGUAGUGAAGUAGAAAGUACAGAUACUGCUCUCAAAUGUAGUCAAGUAAAAGUAAAAAGCACCCACUGUGAAAUGUACUUAAGUAAAGUCCAGAUACCUAAAAAUGAUUCUACAGUACUUUACUCCUUGUACUUUGUUGCCUUCCCCCCCAACACUGCAUGAAGAAAAAAAAAUCUUAAUCUUGGUUAAAUAUAAGAAAAAUAAAGUAAUAUAACACAGUUUAAAAUUCAUAAGAGUCAAGUCUGUGUAACAUAGGGCCUGUAAGGUUGGUCAAGUCGUAACACGAUUGCGCCGGGACAAAAAAAAAAAAAAAAAAAUCAUUAAUGUAAUUACUAAAAGCCCAGGAUUCACAUCAAAACCUGAGCUGUUGUAUUUUACAUAUUACACAGUUACAAACACUUCAGUAAACCUAAACGGCUGCUCUAAAUUCCAACAAAUUUAUAUUUUUACUCCAACUUUGAAAUACAGUAGUCCCUUGUUUAUUGUGGGCGUUAUGUUCUAAAAAUAACCCGCAAUAAAUCUGCGUAGUUGUCAGCUUUAUUUUUUACAGUUAUAUAUGUUUUGCGGCUGUA